AGGGAAUCUUCCGCAAUGGACGAAAGUCUGACGGAGCAACGCCGCGUGAGUGAUGAAGGUUUUCGGAUCGUAAAGCUCUGUUGCCAGGGAAGAACGUCCGUUAGAGUAACUGCUAACGGAGUGACGGUACCUGAGAAGAAAGCCCCGGCUAACUACGUGCCAGCAGCCGCGGUAAUACGUAGGGGGCAAGCGUUGUCCGGAAUUAUUGGGCGUAAAGCGCGCGCAGGCGGCUGUUUAAGUCUGGUGGUUAAUCCUGGGGCUCAACCCCGGGUCGCACUGGAAACUGGACGGCUUGAGUGCAGAAGAGGAGAGUGGAAUUCCACGUGUAGCGGUGAAAUGCGUAGAGAUGUGGAGGAACACCAGUGGCGAAGGCGGCUCUCUGGUCUGUAACUGACGCUGAGGCGCGAAAGCGUGGGGAGCAAAC
rnacentral:rRNA from 1 species